CGCCUGGGGAGUGCGGCCGCAAGGUUAAAACUCAAAUGAAUUGACGGGGGCCCGCACAAGCGGUGGAGCAUGUGGUUUAAUUCGAUGCAACGCGAAGAACCUUACCUACUCUUGACAUCCAGAGAACUUAGCAGAGAUGCUUUGGUGCCUUCGGGAACUCUGAGACAGGUGCUGCAUGGCUGUCGUCAGCUCGUGUUGUGAAAUGUUGGGUUAAGUCCCGCAACGAGCGCAACCCUUAUCCUUUGUUGCCAGCGAUUCGGUCGGGAACUCAAAGGAGACUGCCGGUGAUAAACCGGAGGAAGGUGGGGAUGACGUCAAGUCAUCAUGGCCCUUACGAGUAGGGCUACACACGUGCUACAAUGGCGCAUACAAAGAGAAGCGACCUCGCGAGAGCAAGCGGACCUCAUAAAGUGCGUCGUAGUCCGGAUCGGAGUCUGCAACUCGACUCCGUGAAGUCGGAAUCGCUAGUAAUCGUGGAUCAGAAUGCCACGGUGAAUACGUUCCCGGGCCUUGUACACACCGCCCGUCACACCAUGGGAGUGGGUUGCAAAAGAAGUAGGUAGCUUAACCUUCGGGAGGGCGCUUACCACUUUGUGAUUCAUGACUGGGGUGAAGUCGUAACAAGGUAACCGUA
rnacentral:rRNA from 1 species